UGUGGGAUUAUUAGCAUGCAUUUACCUUUUGUAAAAUCUGUAUGCGUGCCUUUGAAAUAUAGCAUCUUACAAAAUACAUAGGAAGCGAUAUUGGAUAUAGCAGACAUACCAAAUGCUUGCUCAACUAAAGCUAUUUUUCCUUCAGGAGUGGUAACUUGCGUUGCUGCAGAAGCUUCAACACAAAUUGAUAGCGGGCCGUCAGAUGCAGAAAUUGAUUCGAUGCUUUAAAAUAGGGAUGCAGCUGCAGAGAUAGCAAGAAUUCAAGAAUAUAGAGCUGUGCAUCUCUUAUGUGCAUUCCUAAAUCAAAUUCAAUGAUCAAGUUUUGCGCUGCCCCUACACCAACCAAUUAUGCUCUAAAUCUGGAGGCACGUUGUACUAUUACCUCCAAAUUUUUAGUAAUGGGAGAAAGCUGAGCCUUCACCUUGAUGGUAAAUAUUAGCUCCUGCAAUGUAACAUUUCUUCAAAACCAUGAGGCAACUACAUACUUGCAACCAACGCAGUAAGUGUGCAAGAUGCCAAAUGAUUAUUUGGACUCGUCAUAUUUUUUUAUUUUGCAUAUCGUCUGCUUUUAGUAGAAUGACUGGCAAAAAGCCAUCUGUCUGAAGAAAUGUGAAAUAAGAGACCAUCAAUUCUGAAGAGAGUAUUUUUCAAACAGCUUGAACAUUGAUGGCAAGCAUCUGUGGGAACUUUUUAUAACGUUAUAUUGCUACUUUGGUUGAUGGAAUCGUCCUAUAAUAUUACAUUAUAUGAAGAAUUUGAUUGACAGUUAAA